rnacentral:rRNA from 1 species
CAGUCGCCGCGGUAACACGGAGGAUCCAAGCGUUAUCCGGAAUCAUUGGGUUUAAAGGGUCCGUAGGCGGUCUUGUAAGUCAGUGGUGAAAGCCCAUCGCUCAACGGUGGAACGGCCAUUGAUACUGCAGGACUUGAAUUAUUGGGAAGUAACUAGAAUAUGUAGUGUAGCGGUGAAAUGCUUAGAGAUUACAUGGAAUACCAAUUGCGAAGGCAGGUUACUACCAAUUGAUUGACGCUGAUGGACGAAAGCGUGGGUAGCGAACAGGAUUAGAUACCCCAGUAGUCCCUGUCUCUUAUAC